rnacentral:ncRNA from 14 species
GGGGAUGUAGCUCAUAUGGUAGAGCGCUCGCUUUGCAUGCGAGAGGCACAGGGUUCGAUUCCCUGCAUCUCCA